rnacentral:sRNA from 1 species
CCUACUGUUUAAACUUUAAGAUGAUCCCUAACUGGCUUAAAGUCCUCAACCCACAGUGGAGGAAAACGUUGCAAAAAAAAAAAAACAAGGUCAUGCUGCAUUUUUUUGGUAAGCACAGGAAUCAACAUAGAGAUGUUAUAUAACUUCUAUUUAUAUCCUCCUUGCUCACUAUCUGCAGGCAGACAAGAGUCGCUGAGAAGGGAUUUAAUGAGCUCUCUGGGUUUGCUCACCUUCCUGAGCUGGUAGGAACCAGCUUGUUCUCAAGUGCGUCAGCAAAGAAUCUGCCUGUGGGUGGGCGGCCAGGGUAGGUGGACAGACUUGUUGCCAUGGUGUUCUUUAAUUCCCCUGUCUCUCAG